rnacentral:piRNA from 1 species
UAGAUCAAGGAAUAUUAGGUGGCUUUUAAA